GACUGACUGCUAUCGGAUUGAUACUAAGCCAUGCGAGUCUUUGCAGUAAUGCAAGGCGGACUGCUCAGUAACACGUAGUCACCUAACCUAUGGAUGGGGAUAAACUCGGGAAACUGAGGAUAAUUCCCCAUAGAUCAUUUAUCCUGGAAUGGUUAGUGAUUGAAAUGAUUCGUCGCCAUAGGAUAGGACUGCGGCCUAUCAGCUUGUUGGUGAGGUAAAGGCCCACCAGGGCUAUUACAGGUACGGGCUCUGAGAGGAGAAGCCCGGAGAUGGGUACUGAGACACGGACCCAGGCCCUAUGGGGCGCAGCAGGCGAGAAAACUUUGCAAUGUGCGAAAGCACGACAAGGUUAAUCCGAGUGAUUUCUGCUAAAGAAAUCUUUUGCCAGUUCUAAAAAUACUGGUGAAUAAGGGGUGGGCAAGUUCUGGUGUCAGCCGCCGCGGUAAAACCAGCACCUCAAGUUGUCAGGAGGAUUAUUGGGCCUAAAGCAUCCGUAGCCGGCUCUGUUAGUUUUCGGUUAAAUCCAUAUGCUCAACAUAUGGGCUGUCGGAAAUACUGCAGAGCUAGGGAAUGGGAGAGGUAGACGGUACUCGGUAGGAAGGGGUAAAAUCCUUUGAUCUAUUGAUGACCACCUGUGGCGAAGGCGGUCUACCAGAACAUGUUCGACGGUGAGGGAUGAAAGCUGGGGGAGCAAACCGGAUUAGAUACCCGGGUAGUCCCAGCUGUAAACGACGCAGACUAGAUGAUGCAUUAGCAUAUAGCUAGUGCAGUGUCUCAGGGAAGCCGUUAAGUCUGCCGCCUGGGAAGUACGUACGCAAGUAUGAAACUUAAAGGAAUUGGCGGGGGAGCACCACAAGGGGUGAAGCCUGCGGUUC
rnacentral:rRNA from 1 species